UCCUACAAAACAUUUGUUUAAUGAAUGAAUGUACAAACAAUAGGGAAUUGGCUUAAUUAGGGUAAGCCACAAAAUGGAUUUAUACAUACCAACACAAAUCACAUUGUAGAACUCCACUCAAUGAUGGGAAAAUAUAUUAAGGGGAAAAGGCAAUUAAUAUUAUGAUCUCAUUAAAAAUACGUAACAUAGAAAAAUGAUCUCUCAUUUUUUUGUUUUAAAAAAGAUACAAAUGCAUAAGAAAAGUCUGGAACAAGAUACAUCAAAAACUAACAUUGGGUGAUAAGGUAAUGGAUUUUUUUUUUCUUUUUUAGGGUUCCAGGACAUAUUCAAGCAGAAUUUGGAUAACCAUCUGCCAGCGAUCUGUACUCGGUGGGAAGUUGGUACAUAUCUGUGUUAGUUGUCCAAGAUUCUAUUCUUCACCUAGAAGAAUGCUCUGAAAACUAUAAAGUGCUUACUAAAAUCAAAGUAUUUUAUCCAAAUAUUCAAGUGAAAGUAGGAAUACAGAAUCAAAGAAUUAGAGAAUGUUAAUACACUAAAUACUAGAUACUGUGCCAAAGGCUUUAAGACACCAUUUUAAUCAGUAUUCACAGUCUUGUAAAUUAGAUAUUACUACUAUGCAUGCUUCUUUCUUUUCUUCUUUCACAUGAGAAAACAGACCCAAGAAGGUCGUGACUUGUGUCAGGCCACACAGCCAGCUGUUGAACCUGAACCUAAAAGCCAUGCUCUUAAUUAACUGGAAAGAAUCCUAAGGAAUAAUUUAAUUCAGCUCCUUUAUUUUACAAAAGAGGCAAUUUUCCCUUCAUACAAUGACAUAUGAACACUAUGUUUCUUACUUAUAUUCCUCAGUAUCUCUUGUUAAGAUUUGAAACUCAAUUUACUUAAAGGCAGAACAUGACCAGUUGCCUCACUAGCCUGUAAGCAGCUAGGAGGAUCACAGGGUUGCUAUAGUAAGCGAACCACACUCCACGUGCUAUUCCAGGUUUCACUACGGCACUGAGGUAUUUCAUUAGUGACUUAUUUGUACAACCCAGCCCCUGGCCUGGGCCAGCUUCUAAUUAAUAAGAGACAACCGUCUGGCCCCUAGGCAUUAAUCUUAUGAUUUUAAUCUAUUCUAAAAUGUAACUAGCCAUCUAUAGAUUAAUUAUGCCAAACAGUUGAGGUCUUCCAAGACAAGGCACCCUAAUGUGACCCAAAAUCUAAACAAAUUACUUUCCCAAAGGACAACUAGUAAAGAAACGAUAAUGAUUUAAACUACUAAGACUGAAGGCUUGUCCAGCUCUUGUCUGGAAGAAAGCUAAAAAUAAAAAACAAAACUCUGAAUGACAUGAUGUGGUUACCAUAUUCAUUCUGAAUUGGUAAAUGGUUAUUUUCUUACUUCCAUGCAUCUAAUUUCAGAUUUCACUGGAUGAGAUCAGUAUUUGCUUUCUCCUUACAACAAAUAUCCAGAGUUCCCAGAAAGACACAAGAACAUAAGAAACUUAUAUUACAAGAUUUGUUUAUACUAUAUCCUUUAAGAAAAAUAAAUAAAUGCCAUUUUAGAAUGUGAGGAACACACACACACAAAAAGGUUUUUGACCAGGCAUAUUUUCUUUCUUUCUUUUUUUCUUUUUAAAAAUUAUACUUUUUCCAUUUAUCAAAGGUCACCAAAGAACUCCCAACAUUAUUGAAUCUUCUUCAUUCUUCAGGAAUUAUUCAUUCACAGAGCAGAUCACCUACGGAAAAAAAUUAUUUUAGAGAGUAAGUUCCAAACAUCAUGCCAGAUUUAUGGAGUUCUGGAAUUAAGAUCACUAGAAAUGAAUGCCCCAGCCAAUACUAUUAACAAAUCACCACAAUUAUUCUAAACUGGUCAUGAAAUAAAAGAUCCACAUUUUUAAAUUCUAGUUUUGCCUAACAAAACAUCACUGCAACUGUUUGAUCCAUUACACUGUUUAAUCUUGAGAAGUCUUUGUUGAAGUAAAAAUUAAAUACGUAUUUAUUUCCUCAAAAAUAUCUUUCCAAAAAAGGCUAAGGCAGUUUAUUUUUACAGAUAUGCCAGAGAAGAGACUUGCAACCCCCUCCUUGCUAAUUCAAGUACGUUUGGCAAAGAGCCACUAAGUGAAAGGCAGAAGGUCAGCUCUGUACACAAGGCACUUCCUGUGGAAAGUUACUCACUUAAUUCCAAGGGCAAACAAGUGUAACCCUUUUGAAAUCCAUUUGGAAAGAUCAAAAGGGUAAAGUAGCAGAGGAUAGGGUUGCUGGUCUGGUCAGUCAGUACUAGGCUUUCACAGCAGAAACAGGCUCAGAAAGGUUAAAGGACCUGCCUCCAGGGUUCUUCUGAUUCCUAAAGGCAGAAAGAUACUAGCUGCCAUUUCCUCUUCACAUUGCUAAGCAGGUUCUGUGUUCCUCUAGUUUCUCUUUCAGUGAAAGCAGCAGUCACAAGACAGAAGAAAGUAUCUAUAAUUACCACCAUCACACCUAUUUUUUCUUAGGACGAGUUUUGAAAUCUCCCCCUUUGUUGCCUAUUAAAUCCCCAGAUAGUUUAUAUUUAGCAUUAUCUCUGCUCCUUCCGCAUAAGCAAGUGGGUCUGAAAGAGGGCACGCCUGAGAGUUACCUAGGAAUCUCUGAGGCAACAGGUACAGAUGAGGGUGCAGGCCUGUGAAUUUCGGAAACCGUUCCUCAGGCGAGUCUGAGGCACACCUCUGGCAGAACGUAGCCUACCUUUAUGUUAAGUCCCAAUCUACUGAAUUCAAGUUACCGUGAAGACCUAUCUCAGUUACAAAUAACAUUAAACUCUACAAGGGUUUUCGAAUUCAGGAACUUUCACGAUCAUUACUGGGAAGAUCUAAGUUUGCAAAGUCUCUUUCCUUUGAAGCUAUCCUCAGAAAAACUGGUCUCACAGUCUAAGAGAUACCAAUUUAGUUAUAACAGUGCGGACAGUCGUGUUGGAUUGUACCUGACAGCUCACGAUCUGGUGACUGAGUUAUACACACCUAUGCAUUUCAACAAUAGGCCUUUCUAAUUAGCAUCUGAUUGAAGCUUUAUGAUUGAAGAUCAAGACUCUAUGCAACCCUAAAAAUGAAUAUGUUGGCAAAAAGUCUCAUGAAGUGAAAGGAGUGAAGUGUACAGUGCUUGUGAUUUAGAGAACAUAAAAGACCCAGACUCUGGUUUUGAUUCCACCACCUAUCCACUCGUAACUGGAGCAAGUCUUUUUUGACUUCACUCUUCCUCCAUUUCCCCCCAGGGGUUGGGGAAAAUACGCCACCUGUGACCAAUGGGGAUCAAAACACCUGUUCUUCUUCCAAAAGUAGUAUGCUAAAAACGAAUACAUGACAUUUUGAAUUCUUAGAAAGGCCUGAUUUGGAUUCAGAUUGUUCUUCUUGUAACCAGGCUUCAAAAACACAUAAUCAGGUCAUAUAUUCAACAGACCUCAAUUAUGCUAUCCACAACUCCCAAGAUAUGGGCUAUUUCGUUCUGGUUUCUAUUUUACAGUUUACAAAGCCUAUUCAUACAUAUAUUAUUCAAUCAUCUCAACAACUCUAUGAAAUAGUUUGGGCAUGUAUUAUUAUCCCUACUUUAAAGAGGAGGAAACAAAGGUUCAGAAAGUUAAGGACUUGCCCAAGACCACACAAUCAGUUAAACAUCACGUCUUCUAAGUGCAAAGCUCGUGCAGUUUCUGUUAUAGAAAGAUGAAGUACAGGGGAGCCACUCUCACUCUCUGUCCUGAUAACAUAAAGAAAACUGUAGCUUCGGGUCCUUUGAAUACGUGCUCUUUAUAACAACUGUCCCACCUCUGUGGUCCACACGAAGUCCAAGAGAAGCUUCCGAUGCUCCUAAAUCAGCAUUUUUUUAAUCACCCUUUUUAUCAAGGGAGGUUCAGCCCUAGGCAACAGCUUAUAUAAUUGGCUAGGAAGAGAGAUUAUAAACAAGGAAACCAUGUACAAAUGUUGAGAUUCUGUGUCUUUAAAAUAAUCAAUACAUGUACUUAUACUUUUUAAGAACACACUCCCCCACAUCCAAAUUUACUUAUUUUACAAAGUGAUUCACCAUGAGAUUUCUUUAAAUAACCAUCUAGUCUAAAAGCCACUUAAGGGGCCGGACCCAUGGCCGAAUGGUUAAGUUCGUGCACUCCGCUUCAGUGGCCCAGGGUUUUGCUGGUUGGGAUCCUGGGUGCGGACAUGGCACCAUUUGUCAGGCCACGUUGAGGCGGCGUCCCACAUGCCACAACUAGAAGGACCCGCAACUAAAAUAUACAACUAUGUACUGGGGGGAUUUGGGAAGAGAAAAGAAAAAAAAACCCAGAAGAUUGACAACAGUUAGC
rnacentral:lncRNA from 1 species